GAUGAACGCUGGCGGCGUGCCUAAUACAUGCAAGUCGAGCGAACAGACGAGGAGCUUGCUCCUCUGACGUUAGCGGCGGACGGGUGAGUAACACGUGGAUAACCUACCUAUAAGACUGGGAUAACUUCGGGAAACCGGAGCUAAUACCGGAUAAUAUAUUGAACCGCAUGGUUCAAUAGUGAAAGUCGGUUUUGCUGUCACUUAUAGAUGGAUCCGCGCCGCAUUAGCUAGUUGGUAAGGUAACGGCUUACCAAGGCAACGAUGCGUAGCCGACCUGAGAGGGUGAUCGGCCACACUGGAACUGAGACACGGUCCAGACUCCUACGGGAGGCAGCAGUAGGGAAUCUUCCGCAAUGGGCGAAAGCCUGACGGAGCAACGCUGCGUGAGUGAUGAAGGUCUUCGGAUCGUAAAACUCUGUUAUUAGGGAAGAACAAAUGUGUAAGUAACUAUGCACGUCUUGACGGUACCUAAUCAGAAAGCCACGGCUAACUACGUG
rnacentral:rRNA from 1 species